GGAUUAGAUACCCUGGUAGUCCACACCGUAAACGCUGUCUACUAGCUGUCUGUGUAUUUAAUACGUGGGUAGCGUAGCUAACGCGCUAAGUAGACCGCCUGGGGAGUACGGCCGCAAGGUUAAAACUCAAAUGAAUUGACGGGGGCCCGCACAAGCGGUGGAGCAUGUGGUUUAAUUCGAUGCAACGCGAAGAACCUUACCAUCCCUUGACAUCCUCAGAAGACAAAAGAGAUUUUGUUGUGCCUUCGGGAACUGAGAGACAGGUGCUGCAUGGCUGUCGUCAGCUCGUGUCG
rnacentral:rRNA from 1 species